rfam:Aspergillus nomius NRRL 13137 contig00032, whole genome shotgun sequence.
CUUUCGGACCCUUUCGGGUCCAUCAAUACAAUCCUACCGGGUAUA